UGGGGAAUUUUGGACAAUGGGCGAAAGCCUGAUCCAGCAAUGCCGCGUGUGUGAAGAAGGCCUUCGGGUUGUAAAGCACUUUUGUCCGGAAAGAAAUCCUUGGCUCUAAUACAGUCGGGGGAUGACGGUACCGGAAGAAUAAGCACCGGCUAACUACGUGCCAGCAGCCGCGGUAAUACGUAGGGUGCAAGCGUUAAUCGGAAUUACUGGGCGUAAAGCGUGCGCAGGCGGUUUGCUAAGACCGAUGUGAAAUCCCCGGGCUCAACCUGGGAACUGCAUUGGUGACUGGCAGGCUAGAGUAUGGCAGAGGGGGGUAGAAUUCCACGUGUAGCAGUGAAAUGCGUAGAGAUGUGGAGGAAUACCGAUGGCGAAGGCAGCCCCCUGGGCCAAUACUGACGCUCAUGCACGAAAGCGUGGGGAGCAAACAGGAUUAGAUACCCUGGUAGUCCACGCCCUAAACGAUGUCAACUAGUUGUUGGGGAUUCAUUUCCUUAGUAACGUAGCUAACGCGCGAAGUUGACCGCCUGGGGAGUACGGUCG
rnacentral:rRNA from 1 species